rnacentral:rRNA from 1 species
GAGAGGGGGAUCCCCCACACUGGUACUGAGACACGGACCAGACUCCUACGGGAGGCAGCAGUGAGGAAUAUUGGACAAUGGACGAAAGUCUGAUCCAGCUAUGCCGCGUGCAGGAUGACAGCCCUACGGGUUGUAAACUGCUUUUAUACAGGAAGAAAAACCCCGACGUGUCGGGGCUUGACGGUACUGUAAGAAUAAGGAUCGGCUAACUCCGUGCCAGCAGCCGCGGUAAUACGGAGGAUCCAAGCGUUAUCCGGAAUUAUUGGGUUUAAAGGGUCCGCAGGCUGUUUUUUAAGUCAGAGGUGAAAUCCUGCAGCUCAACUGUAGAAUUGCCUUUGAAACUGAAAGACUUGAGUUAUUGUGAAGUGGUUAGAAUGUGUGGUGUAGCGGUGAAAUGCAUAGAUAUCACACAGAAUACCAAUUGCGAAGGCAGAUCACUAACAAUUAACUGACGCUCAGGGACGAAAGCGUGGGUAGCGAACAGGAUUAGAUACCCUGGUAGUCCACGCCGUAAACGAUGGAUACUAGCUGUAUGUCUACCUCAGGUAGAUGUGUGGCCAAGCGAAAGUGAUAAGUAUCCCACCUGGGGAGUACGAUCGCAAGAUUGAAACUCAAAGGAAUUGACGGGGGCCCGCACAAGCGGUGGAGCAUGUGGUUUAAUUCGAUGAUACGCGAGGAAUCUUACCAGGGCUUAAAUGUAACGGGACAGGUCUAGAGAUAGACCUUUCUUCGGACUCAUUACAAGG